GCCAGGUGUGGUGGCGGGCACCUGUAAUCCCAGCUACUCGGGAGGCUGAGGCAGGAGAAUCACUUGAACCCAGGAGGCAGAGGUUGCAGUGAGCCAAGGUGGUGCCACUGCACUCCAGCCUGGGCAACAGAGUGAGACUCUGCCUCAA
rnacentral:SRP_RNA from 1 species